UUGAUUUUCAAAAUUUCUUUUGUAUUUGUUGUUGGGGAGAGAGGAGGGGGUUUUGCCAAUUUUGGUCCAGACAUGAAGUUCAUUGGUCUAUAUGUGUCAGAAGAACAAGUCUUUGACAUUGACACAAUGCAACUCAAAACAGUGACUAGCAAUGUGAUGAAGUUCACAGAAACCAGAGACAUUAUUGCAAUCGCAACUGUAAUUCAAUGCUGAAGUAAUCGAUUAUGCUCUGUCCAUCAUGAUUUCUCGACUGGCUCAGACCAAUUUCUUGUCUUCUGUUUUUUUUUUUUUUAUUAGGUGAAACUAAGAACUGG
rnacentral:lncRNA from 1 species